UGCUGAGCAAUGCAAUGGAGGUGGUAGAUUUUUCUUGGCUCGUACACGUUGUGCCCUCCUAGAGCCCUUCAAUGGUCUGGGUUGUGUGGAGGCGUUCCAGCUGUUUAAUGGACAACUCCUAUUGACUGUUAUUAGGAGUACCAACAGGCGGUUUCUGCAUGCAAUAUCUGAAACACCAAAAAGGGGGGAAAGGGGAAAACUGGUUAUCUUUCUUCAGGCCUAUGAUUUAUCAGCAUAAUAGGCUUGGCCAUAGAGGACAACUCCAGUAAUGCAUUUAAACUCAGAUGGAAUGUAAAGCUUUCUAGCUGUCGAUGUACCACCUUUUUCUCUUCUGGUGGAUGUAAAUCUUAGCUUAGAGAACAACAGGCAACUGCCAUCUUCUGUUGUGGUGGAUGUAAAUAUUAGCUUAGAGAACAAUAUGCAAGAAGCCUUGCAAAGAGGUCAGUUAGUUGA